AGGAUAAGAAUAAGAAUAAGCAGAAGAAGAAGAAGAGA
rnacentral:sRNA from 1 species